UUCCUCUCUUUCUCUCCCUUGUCUUCGCCGGCGACUCCCCUUCCUCGGCCUCAUUCGGGCUCGGCGGCCAAGGGAGGAAGGACCUUGGCUGGAGGGAUAGAAGCGCCUCCAUGUCGCCUUUGUAUAGGUUUAAUUGCAGAGAGGAAGGUCUUCUGAAGUCUGCCAUGAGUGGGACUGCUCUAAUAGGAAGUGGGGGCGAGUCCAGUGCGCCUUGGGAGUCCUUUUCAUCCAAGGGAUGGCUGGAAUCCUGUUGGUGUACCAGGUCAGCAGGCUAGCUUUCAUUACUGUGGAACAU